UGGGGAAUCUUCCGCAAUGGCCGAAAGUCUGACGGAGCGACGCCGCGUGAGUGAUGAAGGCCCUUGGGUCGUAAAGCUCUGUCAUCAGGGACGAACGGUCACGUCAGGAAAUGGGCGUGAAUUGACGGUACCUGAGAAGGAAGCCACGGCUAACUACGUGCCAGCAGCCGCGGUAAUACGUAGGUGGCGAGCGUUGUCCGGAAUUAUUGGGCGUAAAGCGCGCGCGGGUGGGAUCUUAAGUCUGUUCUGAAAGUUCGGAGCUUAACUACGUGAUGGGAUGGAAACUGGGAUUCUUGAGUAUCGGAGAGGAAAGCGGAACUCCCCGUGUAGCGGUGAAAUGCGUAGAUAUGGGGAGGAACACCAGUGGCGAAGGCGGCUUUCUGGACGAUGUCUGACACUGAGGCGCGAAAGCCAGGGGAGCGAACGG
rnacentral:rRNA from 1 species